AUGAAUAGUGGAGAGGAAACGAGCGGGCAGCCUGGGCAGCGAGCGAACGGACAAAAGGGAGCGAACGGAGCGGGCAGCGUUGGGGCAGCGAGCGAACGAAUGGAAAAGCAGCCAGACCUAGCCCGCGCCCCCGCAGCCGCCUCCUCUCCUUCUGCCUCCGCCUCCACCACCUCCUGCCUCUCCUCCUCCUGCGUAUCCUCGUCUCCUCCCUCUGCCUCUGUAAUCAACAGAAGGAGCCGGGUCGCUGCCCUCCUCCCCCACUUUCCACUCCCACCCUCCCCGCACAGCCGCUGCCUCUCCCUGCUCUCCCCAUCUCGCAGGAGCCGCCGCCUCUUCCCAUUUCCCCAUCUGGCAGCGAAGAAGAGGAUCGAUCAUGGGAGAGGGUGGGAGAUUGAGGAGAGAGAGAAACGAUGCAGAGGACAGGGGAUACAAGGUGGACGGAGGUUAGGCGUCGUCACCGGAGACGUGGAUCUGCGGUGCAGUGGGAGAGGUGACGCCGGCUGGUCGGCUACUCACCAGCGGCUGCUGUUUGGCGUUUUCCUAUUGGUGUGGCUUCAAGAUUGCUGCUCAUGUGCCUGGUCAUAUCAAAAGGGCAAAAUGAACUUGUGGCAAGGAUAUGCUUCUGUUAAGUUAAAGGGGUCAGGCCGAGCAGGAAUUCAAGGCGGAGGUGGAAGCCAUCAGCAGAGUGAGGCACAAGCACCUCGCCGGCCUCAUCGACUACUGCGCAGAAGGGCCUAA
rnacentral:rRNA from 1 species